rnacentral:rRNA from 1 species
GCCAGACUCCUACGGGAGGCAGCAGUGGGGAAUAUUGGGCAAUGGGCGCAAGCCUGACCCAGCAACGCCGCGUGAAGGAAGAAGGCUUUCGGGUUGUAAACUUCUUUUAUUCGGGACGAAGCAAGUGACGGUACCGAAUGAAUAAGCCACGGCUAACUACGUGCCAGCAGCCGCGGUAAUACGUAGGUGGCGAGCGUUAUCCGGAUUUACUGGGUGUAAAGGGCGUGUAGGCGGGAGUGCAAGUCAGAUGUGGAAACUAUGGGCUCAACCCAUAGCCUGCAUUUGAAACUGUACUUCUUGAGUGCUGGAGAGGCAAUCGGAAUUCCGUGUGUAGCGGUGAAAUGCGUAGAUAUACGGAGGAACACCAGUGGCGAAGGCGGAUUGCUGGACAGUAACUGACGCUGAGGCGCGAAAGCGUGGGGAGCAAACAGGAUUAGAUACCCGAGUAC